AACGAACUGCCCAUUUAUACCACUAUAAACAUAAUAUAACAAAAUAUGCAUGUGUACAAAUUAAACCCUGCAUUCACUUUAACAUAUUGUAGUGUAUUCCAUUUAUUCCAGAGGUUAAUUAUAAGGCUCACAUAUAGUUCUUAGAACACAAUGUAUUAUGAAAUACGCCGUUUAAACAUGACAAAAUGUUUUAAAAGAACCCACGUCUUCUACAGUAACUGCUGAUAUCUUAAUUAGAUUUAAGAUGACCAAUAGUUUAAAAACUUGGAAAAUUUUGAAGUUUGAUGGAUUGCUCAUGAACGCUCGUUGCAAAAAUAUAAGUAAUGCCAGCACAUACGAAUCCUUGAAACUUAUGGCGGAAAGAGACGAACAACUGAAACAAGAAGUAUCGUGCCAACUGAUAAAAUAAACGUCGAACUGAAAGAAUGAGGAAAUGUUUCUGUUCUUGCCAUGGUGACGAACGAAGAAUUAGGAUUUGUUUUUGUUGUUAGACAAACAUGCAAGUCUGUUGCGCCGUUUUACUUUCCCUAUUCAACACCUUUUUUAGAAUUUCGUACUUCCGUAGACAACGCACCUCUAUCAUUAAAAUUUACAUGUAUUCAAA